rnacentral:rRNA from 1 species
GGCCUUUCCUGACGUGAGGAGGAAAGCGUGGGAGGAACAGGUUAGAUACCCUGUAGUCCCCCUGUAAACGUGGUACUAGGUGUGGGUCCAUUCCACGGGUUCCGUGCCGUAGUAACGCUUUAAGUACCCCGCCUGGGGAGUACGGCCGCAAGGUAAAACUCAAAGGAAUUGACGGGGCCCCGCACAAGCGGCGGAGCAUGCGGAUUAAUUCGAUGCAACGCGUAGAACCUUACCUGGGUUUGACAUGGAUCGGGAGUGCUCAGAGAUGGGUGUGCCUCUUUUGGGGUCGGUUCACAGGUGGUGCAUGGCUGUCGUCAGCUCGUGUCGUGAGAUGUUGGGUUAAGUCCCGCAACGAGCGCAACCCUUGUUCACUGUUGCCAGCACGUUAUGGUGGGGACUCAGUGGAGACCGCCGGGGUCAACUCGGAGGAAGGUGGGGAUGACGUCAAGUCAUCAUGCCCCUUAUGUCCAGGGCUUCACGCAUGCUACAAUGGCUGGUACAGAGAGUGGCGAGCCUGUGAGGGUGAGCGAAUCUCGGAAAGCCGGUUUCAGUUCGGAUUGGGGUUUGCAACUCGACCUCAUGAAGUCGGAGUCGCUAGUAAUCGCAGAUCAGCAAUCGCUGCGGGAAUACGUUACCCGGGGCUUGUACA